rnacentral:rRNA from 1 species
AUAGCUGGUUCUCCUCGAAAUAGCUUUAGGGCUAGCCUCAAGCAGUAAGCAUAGGCGGUAGAGCACUGAUCGGGAUAGGGUCCGUAAAGGAUACCGAACCCUGUCAAACUACGAAUGGUUAUGCUGCAGAGCUUGGGAGUCAGACUACGAGAGAUAAGUCCCGUUGUCAAAAGGGAAACAGCCCAGACCGUCAGCUAAGGUCCCCAAUGCCAUACUAAGUGGAAAAGGAUGUGGGGUCUCAUAAACAACCAGGAUGUUGGCUCAGAAGCAGCCACCAUUUAAAGAGUGCGUAAUAGCUCACUGGUCGAGAGGCCCUGCGCCGAAGAUUCCCGGGGCUAAAGUAUGGAACCGAAGCUACGGAUGCGGUACUUGUACCGCGUGGUAGAGGAGCGUUCCCAUUGGGUUGAAGUCGUCCUGGAAGGGACGGUGGACUGGUGGGAAGUGAGAAUGUUGGCAUGAGUAGCGAAAAGAUAGGUGAGAAUCCUAUCCACCGAAAGCAUAAGGAUUCCUGAGCAACGAUCGUCGUCUCAGGGUAAGUCGGGACCUAAUCCGAGGCAUGGAGCGUAGGAGAUGGACAACUGGUUGAUAUUCCAGUACCGGCAGCAAUCGUUUGAACGAUGGAGUGACGCAGGAAGGCAGGUCCGCGCGAGAAUGGUAGAUCGCGUACAAGCGUGCAGGCUGGUGCACAGGCAAAUCCGUGUACUGAGGCUGAGGCGUGAUGUGGAGGGAACUUGUUCCCGAAGGGAUUGAGCCUACGCUGCCGAGAAAAGCUUCUAGUGAGAAAGCUGCCGCCCGUACCGUAAACCGACACAGGUAUGCGGGGAGAGAAUCCUAAGGUGCGCGGGAGAACCCUCGUUAAGGAACUCGGCAAAAUGUACCCGUAACUUCGGGAUAAGGGUAGCCACAGUGGUGAAGGGACUUGCUCCUGGAGCCUAGUGUGGUCGCAGAGAAGAGGCCCAAGCGACUGUUAACCAGAAACACAGGUGCCUGCGAAAGAGAAAUCUGAUGUAUAGGUGCUGACACCUGCCCAGUGCUGGAAGGUUAAAGAAGGAUGUCCGGGUUCGACCCAAAGCAUUUGACUGAAGCCCCAGUGAACGGCGGCCGUAACUAUAACGGUCCUAAGGUAGCGAAAUUCCUUGUCGGGUAAGUUCCGACCCGCACGAAAGGUGUAACGAUUUGGGCACUGUCUCAACGAGGGACCCGGUGAAAUUGAAGUACCUGUGAAGAUGCAGGUUACCCGCGACUGGACAGAAAGACCCCAUGGAGCUUUACUGUAACCUAAUAUUGGGUUCUGAUAUUCGACGCACAGGAUAGGUGGGAGGCUUGGAGCAUGGUCCUCUGGGAUCAUGGGAGCCGCCGUUGGGAUACCACCCUUCGAAUAUCGGGAUUCUAACCGCAGGAGCAACGAUCCUCGGGACAGUGUUAGGCGGGCAGUUUGACUGGGGCGGUCGCCUCCUAAAGAGUAACGGAGGCGCCCAAAGGUUCCCUCAGCGCGGACGGAAACCGCGCGACGAGUGUAAAGGCAGAAGGGAGCUUGACUGCGAGCCAAACACGGCGAGCAGGUACGAAAGUAGGGCUUAGUGAUCCGGUGGCAUCCAA